CCUCCGCCUCCCAGGUCCAAGCGAUUCUCCUGCCUCAGCCUUCUGAGUAGCUGGCAUUACAGCAUCGUCAACAGAGGAGGGGUCGGCUCCCUGCCUCCCACCUGUUAUCCAGCUUGGAAGGAGGGGUCUGCAGACCAUUUGAAGUGGAUGCCUCCAGGAAGUGCAGAUGAUCCCAAGAGGCAACAAUCCCUAAACUCUCCUUGGCCUUCCUGCUCAAAUCAGUCCCUCUCCACUUCUUUCUGGGGCCUCGAUGGCCCCCUUCCCCUCAUUUUCAGGGCAGGCCCUCAUUUCCCUCCCUUGGAGACCUAACGAAUCAGAAACUCUGGGGGUGAGGCCAGCAAUCUGUGUUAACAAGCUCUCCAGGUGAUGCUGACACCUGCUAAAGUUGAGAAACCACUGGAUCAGACCAUCUUUUUCAUCUGGUGGAGAAAUAGGAAAGUAGCGCAGUGCGUUACCACAGAAACAGGUCUUCCCGCCCCCCCACUGGAAUUUGCUGCUGAGGAGACAUGUCACCAUGGAGACUACCUUCCCACCCACCUGCUGGGAUUUGCUGCUGUGGAGACUUGUUGCCAUGGAGACUACCUUCCUGCCCACCUGCUGGCUAUCCCACAGAUAUGUCCUAUAUUCCCCCCUACUCUGCUUCCAUUUUAGACUGAUCCUGCGGCCUUAUUUCAUCUCUCUUCCCUGAAUCCUUGGGUCCGUUGGAAGGCUCUGUCUUCUCCUGCCAUAGGCUUUUGGAAGAAGUCUUUGGAGGAUAAGGCUGGGGAGGUUCUGGUGCUGCUUUUCCAGCCCCUUUGGUUGUCACUGCCUCACUCCCCAGUUCGCCGUCCUGCGGGGUCCCUUUCCCAGAAGCCAGGCUCCCUGUGAGACACAGGGGUCUCUUCACUGAAACACAGGUAAUCUCCUUGAUGUUCCGUUGCCUUUGUCCUCUCCCCACCCUCAGUGGUCCUGCUUUCUCUCCACUCUCCCUGCUGCUCAGUAGGGGCAGGUGCCUCUGAACCACAGAAGAUGGGGAAGGGGCGGGAGACCCAGGCAAGGAGGAUGUCCUCCCCAUGGCUCUGCUUGUGGUCCCCUGCUCCUGCCAGCCAUGUCCAUCACCCCGGAACUCCCAGUGGCCAACGGGGCCAAAGACAGAUGAACAGCCCAACGGCCUUGUACAGGAACAGAAACACACCAAUGGACAGACAGACAGACAGACGGGGCUUCUCCCCAUUGAGAAGGGGAGGGGCUCUGUGCCAUGCACCAGCCGCCGCGCCCUGCAGCCCCCAAAUACCUUCAUCUUCAUCCCCGUCAUUAUCCGCUAAGUCCUCGCCCUGUUUCUUAGCGCCGGAUCCUGGGGACCAGACACGGGGAGACACAACAGCACAGAACAGAGAACAAAACAGAGAGAGAAUUCAAAAACAGCAUGACUGCAGUGUGGCCCAGCAAGCCAGCUCCGGGCCUGGGCCCAGGACAGGCAGGAGGGAUGGCAAGAACUGAGGGAAUGGGUGGGCUGAGGCCCAGACCUUCACCAGGAUGAUGGUGUUGCAGGUCCCUGCUGUGCUGGCCUCUCUGCACUGCCCUGCCCCGCCUCCCUGUCCCCAACAGCCCAUCUCAACCAACUACCUUUCCAGUGAGGAAGGAGGUAGCAGCAAGUGGGCCAGGGCACAGAGCCAGAGACCCACUCAGGAGAAGGAUUCAUUCUGGGUGGAAGGGGCUGCUCGUGUGUACACAGGCAGGUUGAGCUGGAGAGCAGGGUCAGGUACCAAGGGUGAGGGGCGACAUUGCCAGCAAGGGUGGAGGUUGUGGAUAUGAGGUACUUAGGGCAGAGAUGUGUACAGGGACCCCAGGCCUGAGCUCCUGGGGCCCAGUGGGCAGGUUCAAGCUGGGCCUCAGCUGACCCUGAUCCCCACAGGAGAAAAUGGGAGAUGAAGCUUUCCCUCUGGUCUUCCUUGUUGGAGCCCCUGCUCUGGUUAAUGGCAAAUGGGGUUCCUGCCCACAGGAACCAGUGUUGAGAGCAGCAAGCAUUGCUCUGAGAUGUAGAGAGAGCCAGAGAGGGAGAGAGGGAGAGAAGAAAGGGGAAGAGGAGAAAGGGAUGGUGAGAGAGAGAGAAAAAAAAAUAGAAGAGAAACAAAGAGAUAGGAAUAAUGGUCACAGCUCCAACCAUGUACUGAAUAUUUACCAUGUGCCAGACACUCUACUUCUGCCAUAUUGUUUGAUCCUUACACCCCAAUGAGAUAGGUCCUAUCCUUAUUCCUGUUUCACUGAUGGGGAAACUGAGGUUCAGAGGGGUAAAGUGACUUGCUCAAGAUCACACAGCUAGGAAGUGCUAGAGGUGCGAUUCGCACCCAGGUCUGCUUGACUCCAAAGCCCAUGGUCUUUCCACUGCAUCA